GCCUUUUAUCGACAUGGGAGAGUUGUAGCAUGAGCUUCCAUUGAUCAAAUGGGUAUCUAGAAACACAACUAUGACUGUUAUAUCAUCAUGAAAAUGUCUCCUCACCCCUCUAUCAAUCUUGUUCAGGUCUGAGUAUCUCAUUUCUCUUUUCUGUGCUGCUUCCUUGAGUGCUGUUUUAACAAGUCUCCUUGCAAUUCCCUGCAUCAAAAGAAGAGUUAACCCAAUGCUCAACCGUCUUUUUUCUGUGUUCAGCCAUUUUGUCAUGGUAAACUUACAUUUCGUGGGCUAGUCUGCACAAUUCUAACAGCUUGCUGGUUGCUCAAGUGUUCCCAAAGACCAUCAGAAGCAAAGAUGAGAAACUGAUCAUCAGGGUGGAGUUUAUGUACUAACAAUGACGGCUC
rnacentral:lncRNA from 1 species